AGGCAGCUCUGCCUCCAUCAUCCCCUACCGGCUCCCUCCUGCCCCACCAGGCCGGCACCAGGGACAGCUUCCCGCUCUGUGACAUCACCACCUCUGUGACACAGCUCUGUGAUGUCAUCUACCCUCUGUGAUGUCACCUGCUCAAGAUGGCUGCCACCCCUCCCCUGCCCGGGCCUGGACGCCUGGGGCCCCUYGCCCCUGCCCCAAGAACGAUCCGGAGCGGCCUUACCAAGAGUGCAUUUUAUUCUGUUUUAUGGUUUCUCUUUUUUUUCCUGGGGGAGGGAGGGGCAGGGCUGUUGCUGUAGCCAGGGGGGUCCUUCCCCCCUGCCCUCACACCCCUCCCCCCUGUGGGAGGGGGCAUGACCAGCCCCCCUGUGGGGGCAGGGCCUCCCCUCCCUGCCCCCUCCCCUCCACACAGCGCUCACCUCACAACGGGGCCAAAAGCACAAAAUUAAGAAAAGGAAGGAGGGGGAGGAAAACAAAACAAAAAAAUAAUGCAAACGAAACCAAAAAAUAUAUAUAUAUAUUUAUAGAGAUCCUUUGUCGUGCGUGCUCCACCCCGCCCCCCCCCCGGCGAAGACCUGGGGGCUGCGGCAGGCGGCGGGGCCCAGCACCCGCAGAAUGUAGUUGAUCUCCCGGGAGCCCAGGCUCCCUGACACCACCCCAGACGUGGUGCUGCCCGCCCCACUCGUGGCUGCCGAGCGCACCACCUGCAGGGCCGCCGGCGUCAGGGGGUGCCGGGGGGGCUGCCAGGGCCCCACGACACCCCCACCCGGGCCCGCAUGGCCCUGCGCCUCCCCUCCCCCCCCCGCUUCUGCCCCUCUCUGGUCUCUGUGCCCCCUGCUACUCCUGUGCCCCAGAGUCCCAAA
rnacentral:lncRNA from 1 species